rnacentral:misc_RNA from 1 species
AUGGAUAGGACAUGUUCACCAUCGUCCUCAUCACAAAAUAACUCACUGCCAAGCUUGGUUGAGUUAGGAAUAUCUUUAAUUCACGAAAAAUGCCGUGUUUGUGACCAACCAGGACAUGGGUUUCACUUUGGAGCAUUCACAUGUCGGGCGUGCUCGGCGUUUUUCCGACGUGCGCAUUUUUCUCUGGUUACUGAAAGAAAGUGUCGAUUGUCAAACGGACGGUGUGUACCAACUAAGGGCGGACGAUGGUUUUGCAAAAAAUGUCGAUUAGCAAAAUGCUCGGAGGCGGGGAUGAACAGUAGGAACAUACAAUACGACCGUGAUGCUAAUAAAACGUCACUUUUGAGCUCUACAAAUGUGAAUCGAAACAUGAAAAAUAAAAAUGCUAUUCCAAAUGUGAGUAAUCUGAUAUAUUUUUAGAAAUUUUAAAUGUAAACUUUUAAUUAUGGUGCAUUUUUGAAUAACUGAAACCUCUAAAUAUCGCAAAACUUGCAACAAUUUUUUUGAAUUUUAAACUUCAGAAUAACAUUUUUUUUUCAAAAAGUUAGACAUUGAAUUUCCUGCCAAUAUAUGUUUUGAAAAGCUAUAUUUUUGAUCCCCGCGAUUUUUUUUUGGAAUAAAAACUAUAAAUUUCAUACCAAAAUUUUUAGAGGGCAAUGAAUUGUGAAUAUCCCUAAAAUUUGUGAGAACAUCUUUUUUUACUUUUGCAAAAUUUUUUCUAAACAUUUAAUUAUGUUCGAAUUAAUUUUCUAAUUUUCUGUAACUUGUAAUUUCCUUAAGUUUUGGAAUAGUUGAAUUUUCUGCCAUAAACUUGACUUUUUUUUUAAGUUUCGAGUUUCGCUGCAAACAUUUAUAGCAUUUUUGUGUUUUGAUUUUCAUCGCAUUUUUGUUUAAAUUGAUGCUUUAAUUUUGCAAAUUUUUUUUCUUGAAAUAACAUUUGCAAAACUACACAAAAAUUUUACUUUAAUGACAAUUCAAAUUUAUUCGCUUCAAGAAAUUUGCGCUAAUAUAUCAGACUGUAGAAUCACUUCUUGGCAUCAGUAAUUUAAUUAUUCUACUUGAAAAUCGAAGUGAACCAAAUGCAUGUCCAGUUGUCGAUAUAUCCCUAUUGGUUGACAAAGCUACCAACUACAUUCUGAAUCCAGUUUUAAUAAGAAAAGAUGGCGAUAUGUCAAACUUGGAGCAAUUAUCACUUGGAUUACAAGACAUUCAAUCGUCGCAAAAAGAAAAUGUUCUGGAAAAAAAGUUCAUUACAAUCGCUGACCAUAUGAAGCAAUUUGAAAAAGCUAUGUGUGCAACAGCAAAAUGGUUGGCGUGCUCCAAAAAAAUACAGAGCUUUGAUGAUGACGUCAAAAUUAAAAUUUUGAGAACUGUCUGGUUUAAUUGGGGACGCUUGGAGCAUAUGACAGCAACAGCUAAAAUGAGGAUUCGGGGAAGCUGUGGGAAAGAACAAUUAAUGUUCUCCUCUGACACAAAACUGAACUUUGGCAAUGUGCACAUUGAUCUAAGCUGCUUUUCUAAAUAUUCAUUCGAACAAAUGCGCUACUUUUUCUCUCCAAAUGAAGUAUACUACGAUGAAGCCAUUUCUAAAAUGGUGGAGAUGCAACCCAGUGAUAUUGAAUUAACUUAUCUCAUAUGUGCGAUUUGUUUUCAUAUUACAGGCAAACACUUCGGAGGUGAUAUUGAAGAAGAAAUGGGCCAUUUACAAGAUGUUUUGGCCAGUGAUCUCCACGAUUAUUAUUGCAAAAAUAAUUUUCCCAUGUAUCUUUUGCGACUGAAACAGUUGCUAAAAAUCAAGGACACUUUUGUGAAGCUCAGGAAUAUUCGGCUCGAGAAGUAUGAAAUUGGCGGAGUCUUUAAAGUCAUCAAUAUGGAGUUUUCUCAAUGUACGCACCAAGAAUACUUUCAUGUUCCCUGUUGA